rnacentral:misc_RNA from 1 species
AAGUCGUAACAAGGUCUCCGUUGGUGAACCAGCGGAGGGAUCAUUACCGAGUUUUCAACUCCCAAACCCACUGUGAACAUAUACCUUUGUUUUCGUUGCCUCGGCGGUUCGCGCCGCCGGGUGACACCUAAACCCUGAUUUUAAUUACAGAAGUCUUUCUGAGUAAAAACAUUCUAAAUGAAUCAAAACUUUCAACAACGGAUCUCUUGGUUCUG